GAGGGGACAGAUAGAAAGGAGGAGGGAGGGAGGGGAGAGUGCGAGAAGAUCUUGUUGAUUGCAGUUGUUGCUUAGGUUUCUCCCCCUCUUUUUUUUUUUUUUUUUUUUUUGAGAAGUGUUUGUGUGUGGGCCGAAAAACCGCGAGUGAUAACUUCGGGAGGAUGCAAAUCAGGCGCACUCAGCUCAGUCCCCACCGACCCAGCCCCGUCACCUCCGCCGGUGGCCUGCCCAGCGGCCUCCGUGUCCUCGGGGCGGCCCCCCCUCCCUGCUCCGGGACUCCUGUGUGGGAAGGCAACGCCGUCCGGUUCUUCACCGCACCUGGUCGUGCAUGGUGGCUCCGAUCACAACUCCUGGCCGCCUUGGCGCGCAGCCCCGCAUCGCUCGGCUCACGCUCCCGGCUGCCGGCGUCCAGCCCCACAGUCGCUCGACCUUCUUUUACUUUUCCUUUCUCCUUUUUUUUUUUUCCUUUUCCUUUUUCUUUUCCUUUUCGUUGUGGUGGCAAAUCUGGGUUUCCCUUCUCGUCUCCUUCCUCUCUUGUUUGGUUUUGUGGUGUGUGUGUGUGUGUAUGUUGUUUUCCCUUCCCCUCGUGCAACAGGAAAAGUCGAACGGGAGGGGACCGCUUGGAGAGCUUCAAAAUAAUGUCCUGGUGUCGCGGCUCCGGUAGGCCCGCGGCUGGAACAGUUCCGUGCGGCCCGCCGGCGGUCGCCGCCCUGCCCGCGGCUCCUGGCUGGCUUUCUCCCGGCGCGCGUCGUUCGAUUCCCGGGUCUCCCGGCCCAGCCGGCCGCCCUGGCGCGUCUCUCCCCAGCUCCAGCGACUCGGUCACUGCUCCUGGCUGUUGGCUGAGCUCUGGAAGCCCCCUCGCCUUAAUGCAGCGCCUGCCGACGUCACGGCGGCCGGUGGCCAAUCAGCGCCUCGCGGUCCCUCUGUAAACCAUUCUGCAUCCCCCGGCCGGGGAGAGUACGGGGAGACCGCGUUUAGAGGAUCAGUGGCGGCGGUACCCGAGGCCCCGCGCGGCGCGGGCGACUGGCGGCGAGGUGUCCCGGUCCCUUACGGCUCCGCUCGGCCGGCGCUGGCCGGCUCGGAUUUAGCCUCACACUUCCCCUGCGGACCCAGACACUUCCUGGAUCAAAUCUCCUUUUGCCCAGUGUUCGAACACCGCAGGAGGCGGUCGGAGCUGCUUGAAGGAAGAAAGGAAAGAGCAAGGUGUAGCUGAUUAGCAAGUUAAUUAUUUCAGUACCCCAAGGGUUCCUGUGUGGUGGUAAGUUGUCCAGCCCUGGUGUAAUUUCACAGUCCAUGCAUUUCUUGGUGAGUACCUGGGGUGCCUGAGAAUGUCUGUCUCUCUCUCUCCUUUCUCUCUCUCCAUCCACCUGUCUUGUAUCUUCCUGACACACCUGAGAGCUGUAGGGGCUGGGAUGGGAAUUGGCCCAGGCUGAGGGUGCAAGAAGCCUACAUUGUGCCUUUUACUUCCAGAGUGCUUCCAUGCUACCUUUGUCUUCUUUAAAAA